rnacentral:rRNA from 1 species
GACGAACGCUGGCGGCGUGCUUAACACAUGCAAGUCGAACGGAAAGGCCCUGCUUUUGUGGGGUGCUCGAGUGGCGAACGGGUGAGUAACACGUGAGUAACCUGCCCUUGACUUUGGGAUAACUUCAGGAAACUGGGGCUAAUACCGGAUAGGAGCUCCUGCUGCAUGGUGGGGGUUGGAAAGUUUCGGCGGUUGGGGAUGGACUCGCGGCUUAUCAGCUUGUUGGUGGGGUAGUGGCUUACCAAGGCUUUGACGGGUAGCCGGCCUGAGAGGGUGACCGGCCACAUUGGGACUGAGAUACGGCCCAGACUCCUACGGGAGGCAGCAGUGGGGAAUAUUGCACAAUGGGCGGAAGCCUGAUGCAGCAACGCCGCGUGCGGGAUGACGGCCUUCGGGUUGUAAACCGCUUUCGCCUGUGACGAAGCGUGAGUGACGGUAAUGGGUAAAGAAGCACCGGCUAACUACGUGCCAGCAGCCGCGGUGAUACGUAGGGUGCGAGCGUUGUCCGGAUUUAUUGGGCGUAAAGGGCUCGUAGGUGGUUGAUCGCGUCGGAAGUGUAAUCUUGGGGCUUAACCCUGAGCGUGCUUUCGAUACGGGUUGACUUGAGGAAGGUAGGGGAGAAUGGAAUUCCUGGUGGAGCGGUGGAAUGCGCAGAUAUCAGGAGGAACACCAGUGGCGAAGGCGGUUCUCUGGGCCUUUCCUGACGCUGAGGAGCGAAAGCGUGGGGAGCGAACAGGCUUAGAUACCCUGGUAGUCCACGCUGUAAACGGUGGGUACUAGGUGUGGGGUCCAUUCCACGGGUUCCGUGCCGUAGCUAACGCUUUAAGUACCCCGCCUGGGGAGUACGGCCGCGAGGCUAAAACUCAAAGGAAUUGACGGGGCCCCGCACAAGCGGCGGAGCAUGCGGAUUAAUUCGAUGCAACGCGUAGAACCUUACCUGGGUUUGACAUGGAUCGGGAGUGCUCAGAGAUGGGUGUGCCUCUUUUGGGGUCGGUUCACAGGUGGUGCAUGGCUGUCGUCAGCUCGUGUCGUGAGAUGUUGGGUUAAGUCCCGCAACGAGCGCAACCCUUGUUCACUGUUGCCAGCACGUUAUGGUGGGGACUCAGUGGAGACCGCCGGGGUCAACUCGGAGGAAGGUGGGGAUGACGUCAAGUCAUCAUGCCCCUUAUGUCCAGGGCUUCACGCAUGCUACAAUGGCUGGUACAGAGAGUGGCGAGCCUGUGAGGGUGAGCGAAUCUCGGAAAGCCGGUCUCAGUUCGGAUUGGGGUCUGCAACUCGACCUCAUGAAGUCGGAGUCGCUAGUAAUCGCAGAUCAGCAACGCUGCGGUGAAUACGUUCCCGGG